UUUUUCAUUUCAAUGUCUAAAACUCUCCCGUGAAGAACAAAUCCUACACUUAAUCUUCUCAAUCAAAGUUGAACCCAAACAUAAAUCUGAGAAUUAAACAAACAAUCGAUUCAAUUUGAUUCUACUUGAAAACCUAAAUCAUUAUCAUCAGUACCUUUUCUUGAAGAUUAAUCAGUCCAGGGGAAAGCUUGAUGAGAUUCAACUUCAAUAUUGAAGAGUUCAUCGUUGAAAGCGAUUGGAAAGAUAAGUGUAGUCUGUUCUUAUCAUUUAAUUUGGUUGCAACUGUCAAUUUAUUGAUUUCGGAGUCGAUUUCAAAAAAAAAAUUACGAUUUCAAAAACCUAAUCGCUUCGGUUUCAGUUUCAAUUUCUUAUCUAAUUCAUGAGUUUAGAUAUGUGUUGUUGUUUGGGAAAAUGUGGCUUAUGUUGGAUACACACAAUCACUUCAAGUUUAUUAGUUUGGAUUUGAAGAAUCCAAACUAAUUUUUAUCUUAUCUUCUUGUUUCUCAGUUUAUUUGUUACUCUAAUUUAAAUCUUAAUUCUAAUUUUAAUGUUUAACUUUUAUGUAUAUGUAGCCGGCUCCUGAUACUUAUGAUGACUUGUUCGACCUCGCAAGAUUCUCUAUAUGGCAAUUGAUGGUGUUGCACCUCGAGCCAAAACGAAUCAACAGAGAGCAACGCGAUUUAGGUUUUCAAAGGAUGCCGCAGAUGCUAAAGGUACUAGCUCUGGUGAAUUAAGGAGGAUUUCUAGUAUUGCUUAGGAGAAUUUUGUAGCUCAGUUUAAGGUUAGGGAGUCUGGCAGUAGUGGAGAAUGCAAGAAGGUUUAGAGGAAGUUUGCUGGAGACUUCUACUAAGGAAAGGUUGCUUGCUAGGAACUCCAAAUGAAUAUCGGUUGGCAGGGGUAAGCAAGCUAAUGAAUUGAGAUGAAUAUCCACAAUGGUCUCCCCAGAAGUUGUCAUCUGAUCCUAACCUCGAUGAAGCUACUCAAGGUUUGCUUUUGGUGAGUUGAACUCAAAUUGUGAUGGCCCAUUGUGACAAAUAUCACAUGACAUUCUAAUCAUGUACCUAAGCUUUGUAUGUGUUAACAGCAAAAUAAAUGGCCACUUGAAUCGGUUUAGCAAAUCAUGUAUACCUGAAUUAGUGUUCAACUGUUAUUUAAGAGUCGUUGACUGUUUUUUAUCACAGAAAUUACAUGUGUACAUAUUGGUACACCUGUAAUGUAAUUAAGUGUACAUUGUUGUACACAUGUGACAGAAAUAACAUGUGGAUAAUAUCCUGCCCUAGGAUUCCUAAUCAAAUUUUAGUGAAAAUUCUUCUUUCAUUUCUUGAA